CGAAGCUGGAAUCGCUAGUAAUCGCGAAUCAGAAUGUCGCGGUGAAUACGUUCCCGGGUCUUGUACACACCGCCCGUCACACCAUGGGAGUCGGGAAUGCCCGAAGUCAGUGACCCAACCUUUGGAGGGAGCUGCCGAAGGCAGGUCUGAUAACUGGGGUGAAGUCGUAACAAGGUAUC
rnacentral:rRNA from 1 species